UUUUAACCGGUGAUGGGAUGGACGAGAACCCGCGACAGGGUUCGACAAAACGGCCUGCCCGUUUUGGACCGCCGCAGGCGGCCCGCAGGGCGAGCGCUUCGCGCGAGUCAAUCCCUCCCUCACCGCCA
rnacentral:sRNA from 1 species